rnacentral:lncRNA from 1 species
AGCAUCUAUUUAAUGAUCCACACCACAUCCUGACUUGGGACUGAGAAGGGAGAAGAUGGAAGGUCUCAGCCUAGAAUCAUACCAAAACAUGAAGCAGAUUUAAUAACUAAAAGACUUAAAAUUAAAGCUUUAUUAUACCUUAUUUAAAAGGUAAUGCCUGAAACCAAAGUAAGGCUACAUUUUCACCUCAACAUUUAAUCGCUAACUUACUUUUCAAUUUAAUUUAUUUAGCUAAACUACAUCUGAUUCCAAAAGGAUAUGCACUUAAUUAUCACUACAUAUCAAGAAACAUUAAAAAAUACUGUAAAAGUCUAACUGGUUGUAACUAACCUAUACAUUUAGACCUGGAAGCAAUUUAGAAAUGCUUUUUAACAUUUAUAUAUAUAAAUUAUGUAAUUUUAUUAUUUCACAAUCUGAGUAAAGGAUGCUUUGUAGUUUAGCCAUGGAAGGACAGGGUGUUUUUGUUUGUUUGUUAUCAAAGAAAUUUAAAUUAGUGGGCUGUCUUUGUCAAAGUCGGUUUACACAGUGGCUAGACAACAAAUAGGGGCAUUGUUGACAACUCAAGAAAAUUUCAGCAGAAAUAAUUGAAAAUAUCCCCCCUGGGUUCUCUAUUUACCCUAGGCAAAAACAAAAAAAUACACACUAGAAACCAGAUCAGGCAUUGAGAUGACAGCAAAACAAGUCUAAUGGGGAGAUGUAAACACAUAGGUUAUGAUACGUAGACUAAAAAAGAAAAAGGAAAUAUUUUCUUCUUUAUAAGGACAGUAAGGAAAUAAUGAAAAUGGAUCCCUUUUCAUAUUAUGUAAAAGUAACGUGUAAUUGUGCCUUGCAGCAAGUUGGCUGUAGUUAACUAUAGCAAAGUUAACUACAGCAAAUAAUUAUUUCUGGGGUACUACCUAGUUUGAUGAGAGCCAGCUGGUACUAAAGAUGAGGAGCAGAAUGUAUGGGUUACCGGAAAAUAGCUCCCUGGACCACAUCUAACCCAGUGCCUUAAAUGCUGUGAUCCAGCAGCCUGGGCCGAGAGGGUUGGGUCAACUUUGUCUCUUAGAAGUUGUGGCAGCCAUCAGGAAACAGACAGGAGGAGUAAAAAAAAGGUGAGGGAGAAGGGAAGGAGGAAGCCACUUUCUAGACAUACUUUCGUCAUUCAUGUUAUUUACGCUUUGGUUGCCAAAAUUGCUGACAACAAAGUGUAUCAGAACACAGUCUUUGGUUUUACUGCCCCCUCCCCCUAGUAUAGUAUGCAUAGUAUAGUAUAGUGUAGUAUAGUAUAGUAUGUAUAGAAACUAUAUGAACCUUUUACCUGUCAGUGCAAGAGAAUCAACC